GUUUUUAUUAUUAUGCUGUAUGUUCUUAAUGUUGUACACCACCCUGGGAUCUUUGGAUAAAGGGUGGUAUGUAAACUGGAAGAAGAAGAAGAAGAAGAAGAAGAAGAAGAAGAAGAAGAAGAAGAAGAAGAAAAGCCAUGCAGACACUCUGUGAGUUCUCAACCUCCCCCCCGAAGUUCCCCCUUUUUUUGAGAGGUGAGUAGUCAUAUGUAUAUACAGAUAUAUGCAGGUACCUGCUGUAUUACACAGUGUAGAACACAUGAAUGGGCCUGCUAUCCUCAGAGGCAGAUUUAGGGGAGCACAACCAGUUCAUUCUUACUGGGCACGGAGCCUCAGGUGGGGGGCACAACUGUGAUAUAGUAGAAUGGAAGGUGAAAGGUGGAGGGCACCAGAUUUUGGCAUCACACAAGGCACCAUUGAAAUUUGGGGACCCAAGGUUCACCACUGCCUCAAACAACAUGUGCAGAAUUAUUAAAACUAGUCAUUGUAUGAAUGCGCAAAUACCGUACGCCUUAAGAAUCCUGGGGAGCAGCUUUCCCAUUCAUUGUUUAAAACAAAAACAAAAAACCCUUCCCCUUCUACCAUGCCUGGAAUAACAGGUUUCCAAUUGGUUAUGUAGUUUUAUUUGAAUUAUUAUGUUAACUUGACUAUGGAUCUGUUGUUCCCUUUUGCCUAACCAAUGCUUUGUGGAGGCCUGAUGACUAACGUUCGAAUGAACUAAUCUGAAUCUAAUCUGAAUCAGGCCCUAACAGAUGCCAGGUUUCAGAGUGAUAAAUUGGCUCUGAGUGAUUGUCCCUUAUCUUUGAAGUCCAGUUCUGGGGAUCAUUGGUUUCUUUAUUGGAUUCAGAGCUGCACACGGAAGAGCGAGUUAAUUUGCCGCUGCUGGGAUGUGCUUUGUUCUUUGCAGAACUCAUUCUCACCUCUUGGCCUUUCUUUGACACUCAUCCUCCCUGCUCUGUUAUUCAUGUCCCUUCUCUUCAUGGGAAUUGAUUAUAGAUAAACACUCGUCAGGAAAGAGGAGGCUUUGGCCAACGUAAUGAUUAACUCACUUAUGUUUUUAUUUGUGGAAUUAGAGAUGUCUGAUACAAAGUGACUAAAAUGGAGUGAGGUUUCUUAAAUGAAAUCACCCUUGGGAGGAGAUUUCUUCUUUGCAUAGAGGUUUUGCUUGUAUGUUUUGUUUUGGACAGCACAAUAGCAAAGUCUAUGCCACUGUUAGCCUGAAUAAUAAUAAUAAUAAUAAUUUAUUAUUUAUAUGCGGCCCAUCCAACUGGGUGGCCACUCUGGGAGGCUUCCAGCAAUAAAUAUCUCUUCCCUACCUACAAGUAAGAAUCGCUGCCACUGUGUUUUGGAAUGGAAGCAUACUUGGACCAUGGCAUGGGUGGUGGCAAAUUAAAAUUGCCUCCUGAAGCGACUAUUGGACCUGGAAGGGAAGAUGCUAUUUUUACCUGUUGUGGCUUUCCUGAUACUGGUGUGACUUGGUGUGUGUGCGUGAUUGAUUUUAAUUUUAAAAAUUGUGCAUGUUAUCACAUUUCUCAAAGCAACCCAAAUGGUUCCUCUAUAUUCCAUUUCCAGUUGAGAAUAUGAAGUUAUCAACUAAAUUGCCAAUAAUCUAUGCAUACGUAACAAGGGUUAAACCUCCAUACCACACUCUUGCUUUGGAUCAGUGGCUCUCACGGAUGAUAUAUUUCCAUUGUUAAAUAUAUAUGAAGGUGAUCACGUAUUUAAAUGUACACAUAGUGAAAGGCUGAAUCUGUGCUCAGAGAAUAAAAGUCAAGCCACGUUCUCAUGACCUUUGGGUGGAUCCAGUGAGGAGGCCCAUUUGAAGGGGAAAACACUGCCCAAACCUAUACAGACCCCUCCCUAACCUCAUCUCUUUCAGCUUCAGGGAUAGCUGCAGGUUGAAGACAAGGAUGCUGCUGAAUCAGACUGUCUAUUGCAGCAUUUUUGCCACUGUAGUCUGCUAGGAACCUCUAGGAUGCUUGCAAGGUGGGUAUGAAGCAUUAUUCUGCCUGUGGCAAGGCAGUAAAAGAUGCUACUCUCGCCACUCCCCCCACUUCUAGUUAAGGUGCGCAAUACUCAAGGCUAGUCAAAUUAUUUUGGCACCUGAAGCAAAUAAUUCCACCUCUCCCCCAUCCAUGGCAGUAAUAAUGCAGUCAUAAUAAAUUAAAUAAUAGUUUGAUGCCUGUUCACAACAUCCACAAUCAGCUGCCUGGCUCUGUCUAACAGCAGGGCUGGUUCUAUAUGAAGCUGAUAGUCCAUUUAUGUCCAGGAGCUGGUAUUCAAAGUUACUGUAUAUGGUCCCUAGAUUCCAUUCAGCUAUCAUGGUGAACAGCCUUUGAUAGGCCUAUCCUCUGUGGAUUUUUCUAAUUCUAAGCUAGGUUUUUGGGUCUCUGGGCAUGAGAGGAAAAGCACCACCAUUGGCCCACCCUAUGCCUACAGUUGCUUCAAAGAAAGGGAACCAGAACUACUCAUCUCCACAGCUGAUCUGCAUUAUAAAAAUCCCCCCACUGUUGAAUGUGAUUUUGAAGCCUUGAUUUCACCAGUCAUAUCUUUGCAGCAUAGAAAGUGAAAUAAAAUAUCUUGCAGGAGCUGCUGUGCUGAGAGUUUGUUUCUGCAAAAAUCGGAAAUGGGAUUUCUGUGCUAAUCACAAGGGAAAAGGAAUGUGAAGAGAGGUGGAAGAAACUACAGUUUGCGAAACAUUUCAAGGUUGUACUUUAUAUAAUGUCAAUGCCUCUUAGCCAAUAGCAGUAUUGAAUGUAUGUUCUCCUCCAUACUCUGCAUUAGUUGGACAAAUGAAUGAAACCAUUAUCAUGCUGGUUUUCAACAGUGCAAAUACAUUUCCGAUCUGCCUUUUGGGGUCUUUCUUGGCAGCAUGCCAAAAACCAGCGUUACAUAAGAUGGCUUCAUUAAAAAAAAAGAGGUG